GGGAUAGUCCACGCCCCAUGGAAACAUGGGGGACGGCGUGUAAAAUCCGCUGGCCGCAAGGCCGUGUGGGUUCGACUCCCACCCUGCCCA
rnacentral:tRNA from 1 species